rnacentral:rRNA from 1 species
UACGGAGGAGCCGAGCGUUGUUCGGAAUUACUGGGCGUAAAGCGCACGUAGGCGGCUUGUAAGUUAGAGGUGAAAGCCCGGGGCUCAACUCCGGAACUGCCUUAAGACUGCAUCGCUUGAAUCCAGGAGAGGUGAGUGGAAUUCCGAGUGUAGAGGUGAAAUUCGUAGGAUAUUCGGAAGGAACACCAGUGGCGAAGGCGG